rnacentral:lncRNA from 1 species
GACAUGUGCCAAAACUUCACGGAUCAACAAAAGGAUGCUGGCUGGACAGAUAACAAAGUGACUGCUGCUUCAGGCAAGAAAUGCAGGCUCAGAAGUGUGACUACCCCAGCCAGGGGAGAACGGAGCUCAUGUACCUAGUGAAGUCACAUUUCUGGUACUGAGAGGGAGGGACAAGUAUUGUUUUAAGAUUUUUCUAAGGGUUCUUGGAUGUGCACCCCCCAUACACACAUUUUGCUUCUUGACUGAGGAGAGACCUUAGAAAAGACAAAGGCAUCUGGAGCAAGGAAGGGAAAAGAAGCAAUAAAGGGGCA